GACGAACGCUGGCGGCGUGCUUAACACAUGCAAGUCGAACGGAAAGGCCUCUUGCUUGUAAGGGGUACUCGAGUGGCGAACGGGUGAGUAACACGUGGGUGAUCUGCCUUGCACUUCGGGAUAAGCCUGGGAAACUGGGUCUAAUACCGGAUAGGACCAUGCUUUAGUGUGUGUGGUGGAAAGUUUUUCGGUGCGAGAUGAGCCCGCGGCCUAUCAGCUUGUUGGUGGGGUAAUGGCCUACCAAGGCGACGACGGGUAGCCGGCCUGAGAGGGUGUACGGCCACAUUGGGACUGAGACACGGCCCAGACUCCUACGGGAGGCAGCAGUGGGGAAUAUUGCACAAUGGGCGCAAGCCUGAUGCAGCGACGCCGCGUGGGGGAUGACGGCCUUCGGGUUGUAAACUCCUUUCGCUAGGGAAGAAGCCACUUUGUGGUGACGGUACCUGGAUAAGAAGCACCGGCUAACUACGUGCCAGCCGCCGCAGUAACAC
rnacentral:rRNA from 1 species